CUCGUUUUCUUGAGUUCUGUAUGGUUUUGCUCUAAUUUUCUAUUGAUCGGUUAUUAAUACAUAUGAUUUCUUUCGGUUGUAGCAUGAGCACCGGUUUCUGAUACGUCUCACUGGAAUGAUUUCGGGUUCUGUUAAUUGGAUCUGAAUCCAUGUCUUGAUUUACUAAUCUUGUUUAGAUUUGGUUGAAGCUCAUGUCUGGGAUCUGAAUUCUGUGUAAAACUUAACGUGUCAUUGUCACAAUGGAAAUAAAUAAUAAUUAUAUUGGGAUUCUUCUAUUGGUUUGGUUUGAUAGAAAUUUCCCAUCUGGUUUUGGUGAUUAUAAUUAUACGGGUGCUUUUUCACUUUUACAUCUUCUUAAAUCAAAUAUAAGCUUGCUUGCAUAAUCAACUGAUGAUAUGAUAUUGGGAGUAGUUAAUUUUUGACUGGGAUGUAAAUCCAGUAGUUGGGAUUUUCUGUAAACGUUAAUGUGCAAUUGUUAAGAUGGAAAUAAGUAAUAAUCAUAUUGAGAUUUUUCUAUUGGUUUGAUUUGUUAUCAAUUUCCCAUCUGAUUUUGAUGAUUAUAAUUCUAUGGCUGCUUAUCCACUUUUACAUCUCCUUAAAUAUGUCAGAAAUUGAAUAUAAGCUGGCUGUUAACUUUGUUGCAAAAUGAACUCUGAUGAUAUGAUAUUGGGAGCAGUAAAUUUUUUGACCGGGAUGUAAAUCCAGUAGUCUGGAUUUUAUGCAAAAGUUAAUUUGUAGUUGUUAAGAUGGAAAUAAAUAUUAUUGUUUUUGUUUAAUUUGAUUUGCUUUUCAAUUCUGUUUUUAUUUUUGUAUUGAUGAUUCACUUGUACCAGUUCAUAAGCAUGUGGGAUAUUAAAAUGACAUGCCUUGAAUCAGCCCUUUUUGAAAAAUGUGAUGUUGAUGUGAUCUGUGGAGGAAUAUUUGAUCAAUUUACUUUCAACAUCUGUUUGUAUAAUUCAUAUCUAUUCCUGUAGGAUUUUUAUUCUAUAAAAUGUGAAUAGAAUUCAGUAUUCACUUGCACACCUUGUGUACCAUUCCAACUUUGUAAGGGAGAAUAAAAAAUCUGCUGGGAUUAGCAUGGGAGAUGCACAGGAAUGUAUGACAUGCAUGUCUAGGUGCAUUUAUGAAUAUCUCUGCAUCUAUCUUCAUGUGCUUGUACAUGUUCUAGAGUACGAGUAAUGUUUGUAUUCAUGCUUUAUCCUUUUUAAUCCGCACAAGUAUUCAUGCCUUAUCCUUUUUAAUCUGCACAAGUAUUCAUGCCAUUCAUGCCUUGAGAAUGGAUGUCUGAAAAUGAUUUGAUCAAUAGUUGAAAUAGUUAUUCUUAAGUUUCUAAUGUAACAGAUUUUUGUUGAUAUUUCCCUUUAACUGGUUGCUAACAAUCAAAGUUCACAUGGAUGGUUUGUUGUACUUACAAAGUUGUGAUGAACAUGAACAAAUUAGUGAGUGGGAGGAGCUUCCAGCUUCUGAAUUGGAAUACUGGAAUCAACUCAAAUAAAUUUGUUUGCAAAUAUUAAUUUCUAUAUCUACUUAAUAAAAUCCUUUGGGAGCUUAGAGCCAAUUAAUCUUUUCACAGUAGAUCCUCAUCAUGUCUUUUCUUUUAGUUUAAUGGUCAUUGGAUAUUCUUUGUUUUUCGUUUUUUUUUUUUUAUCCUUCCUCUCUUUUGAUGUUUUCACUUCCUUUUUCCUUGAUGAAACCUUCUGAUAAAUUCGGUGAUUAUACUCAAUACUUACUACAUGGUUCUUUGACACAGCUGUGAUUGACAAUAAAAAAGCUUAUUCAUAUUUAUUACUUAUUAUUAGUUCUGUUGGGAGAUGUAUGAACAAGAUCUAAUUGCUAUAAUAUAAGAUGAUACUGCCGUUUUUUUCCUGAUCUGUUGCUGAGAACAUAUG
rnacentral:lncRNA from 1 species